rnacentral:rRNA from 1 species
CCCUUAGAUGUCCUGGGCCGCACGCGCGCUACACUGAUGCAUGCAACGAGUUUAUAACCUUGGCCUGAAAGGGCUGGGUAAUCUUUUGAACGUGCAUCGUGAUAGGGAUAGAUUAUUGCAAUUGUUAAUCUUGAACGAGGAAUUCCUAGUAAACGCGAGUCAUCAGCUCGCAUUGAUUACGUCCCUGCCCUUUGUACACACCGCCCGUCGCACCUACCGAUUGAAUGGUUCGGUGAAGAUCUCGGACUUCGAUAUUUAUUCUUUAUUGAGUUUAUAUUGUGGGAAGUUAUCUAAACCUCAUCAUUUAGAGGAAGGUGAAGUCGUAACA